rnacentral:rRNA from 1 species
GACAUGUACGUGGUACGAAGGCGAAAGCCUAAGGACCUUUCGGGGAGCGUACACAGGUGCUGCAUGGCUGUCGUCAGCUCGUGCCGUGAGGUGUCGGGUUAAGUCCUGUAACGAGCGCAACCCUUGCCCUUAGUUACAAGUGUCUAAGGGGACUGCCGGCGGGAAGCCGGAGGAAGGUGGGGAUGACGUCAAGUCAGCAUGGCCCUUAUGUCCAGGGCUACACACACGCUACAAUGGUCAGUACAAAGGGUAGCGAAGUCGCGAGGCGGAGCGAAUCUCAACAAAGCUGAUCGUAGUUCGGAUUGCAGGCUGCAACCCGCCUGCAUGAAGCUGGAGUUGCUAGUAACCGCGCGUCAGCCAUAGUGCGGUGAAUACGUACCCGGGGCUUGUACACACCGCCCGUCACGUCAUGGGAGUCGGUAACGCCUGAAGCCGGUAGUCUGGCCCGCAAGGGGGGACGCUGUCGGAGGCGGGACUGGCAACUGGGACGAAGUCGUAACAAGGUAACCAAGGGCGAA